GAUGGAAUAGGUUAUGGGGUGGUAUGGCGUCUAUAUAGGGUGGUUAUGGGGCGAUGGAGUGGGUUAUGGGGUGGUAUGGGGUGUAUAUAGGGUGGUUAUGGGGUGAUGGAGUGGGUUAUGGGGUGUUAUGGGGUAAAUAUAGGGUGGUUAUGGGGCGAUGGAAUAGGUUAUGGGGUGGUAUGGGGUAUAUAUAGGGCGGUUUUGGGGUGACUGAGUGGGUUACGGGGUGGCAUGGGGUAUAUAUAGGGUGGUUAUGGGGUGAUAAAGGAAUCUAGGGGGCACUAUGGGGUGUAUAUAGGGUGGCUAGGGGGCAAUGGGGCAGGUUAUGGGGCGGUGUGGGGAAUCUAUGGGGCAGCUAUGGGGCAGCUAUGGGGCAGCUAUGGGGCAGCCAUGGGGCAGCAGCUCACGUGACCACGGCGUUGGGGUUCUUCUCCACGGCGUAGACGCGGACGCGGCGGGCGGCCUGGCGGGCGGCCCUCAGCGUGGCGUUGACCAGCGGCCCCCGGCCCGCCCCCAGCACCAGCACCACCCUGUGGGGCGGGGGGCGGCGCUCAGCCCCAUAGCCGCCCCAUAGCCGCCCCAUAGCCGCCCCAUAGCCGCCCCACGGCCGC
rnacentral:lncRNA from 1 species